CUUCCGUCCGGCACCGCCUACGAAGGGUUGGAUGGCCGGCGGAGACGCGGGUGGCCGGCGGUGGCCACGGAGGAGUCCACCUGGGGCCUGGCUCACGGACGGAGGUCGACUGAAGGCGGUGGUUGAAGAGCCAUGCACCCUGUCGAGCGCAUGUAGUGUGCCUGCGCCUAUCUAUCCUGCCGCCGCCGCGGUCACCGCCCUGCAAGCAUAUCCGAAGUUGGACUGGCUACAUUUCAAGGGCUCAACAGCCACACAUUGCCAGUGGCUACUGUGUUAGACGGUGCAGUGCUAGAGGGGGAGAUGGAAAAGAAAUCAAGUGGAUUCCACAUAAAGAGGUGGAAAGUGGUACAGGCACUCAACCCUGGGGAUACAACAAUGACCAUGCCAGAUGUGGCAUCUGCUCUCAUGGAAGUCACAGUCAGUUUCCAGAAACAAGUUUAAGAGCGCAGCUCUGACACCGACUAACUUAGGCAAGUAUGAUCUUGGGCAAGUUAUUUAAUCUCUCUGAGCUUCAGCCUCCCCUUUCAUGAAAUGGGAGUGAUUGUAAUACUUUAUGAGGGUACAGUGAGAAUUAAAUGAAAUCAUCUAUUUUUAGAAUCACUGAAACAGAGCCUGGCAUCAAGUGCCUACUAAGUCUUACUAAUAGUAAUAAGAAAUUACACAAAUCAUUAUAAUCUGCAGAGGUUCAGAGUGCCAGCAAAACAUAUAACAGGAGGACCUGACCUCAUUUUGGGGUCACUAGGGAAGGCUUGUCGAGUUGGUGGUGUUGUAGCUGAGGCAGGAUGGGCGAGUCACCAGGCAAAGGGGAACAGACCGUUUAAGGCAGCAAGAACAAAGGCACUGAGGCGGGCAGGAACUUGCACACUUAGGAACUGAGAAAAGGCUAGUGGCAAAGACAUGGGUAGAAAAGGAGACUCUUGGGCUUGGGAGGAGCAGGUCACAUAGGGCUUGGCUAGCCGUGGUAAGAUGAGACCUGUUCCUAACAGCAAGGGAGGUGACUUGUCCAAGUGCACAUGACUAGUUUAAGGACAGAGGCGGGAUUUGAACCCAGGUCUGCUUUGUCUCAAGAGAGCUUUAUUUCUCUGGUUUGAAUUUGAGAUGGGACGUUCUCGUUUUUUAAUUUUGGGGGUUUUUUUUGUUUUUUUGUUUUUUUGGAGAGAAACGCAGUUUUAGUUCUUAGGGGUUGGAAUCAGUACACUCCAGCCGCCGAAGUUCUAUGUCGUUCGAGCUCUGAGGGUCUGUGAGAUCAGAGGACUCAAAGGUGACUUAGUCUUUGUCCCUGCUCUUGAGGACAUCACUGCCCCAAAGGAGAAGAGGACACAGAGACAUAUAAAUACAGCCAGGGUGAUAAGGGGUGGGUAUAAAGCACCACCUGUCCUGAAGGGUAGUGUCUGAGCAGAGUACAGCAGGAGUGGGAAGUGCCGGGUGUAGGUCGUGAGGGAAGAAGACAGUGAGAUGGGUCUGGAGAGGUAUCUGUCUCCAGCUCUAAAGGGCCCGACAGGGUCAGGCAGAGGAGCUGGCGUUUAUCCCAUAGGCCGGAAGCCGGCAAUCUGCAGCCAUGUUUUUGCCCAGCCUGUGAGCUAUAAAUGAUUUUUACAUUUUUUAAAUGGUUGAAAAAAGCCAAAAGAAGAAUAACAUUUUGUAACGUGAGAAAAUGACACGAAGCACAAUUUCAGUGUGCGUCAAGUUUGAUCGUAACACAGCCAUGCCUGUUGAGUGUGUGUUGCCAUGGCUGCUUUUGAGUGGCACUAUCAGAGGGAGAUUUGCUCAGGCAGAGCCUGCUUCAUGGCUGUGGAGACUGUCAUCACCCAGGGCCCUAUGCUUCUACUAUUGCCAUUGCGAAAUAUUUAGUAAUCUAUGCAUAAAUGAGAGGCCGUGCAUUUUUAUCUUGCACUGGGCUCUGAAAAUUACAUAGCCAAUCUUGGCAACAGAGAAUAUAUGGCCCACAAAGCCUACAAUAUUUGCGAUCGAGCCCUUUUCAAAAAGUGUAUGCUGGUCCUGCCAUGGUGGGCAGAAUAACAGCCUCCCAAAGAUGUCCGUGUCCUAAUCUCCUGAAACCUGUGACUAUGUUACCUUUCCUGGCAAAAGGGGCUUUGCAGAUCGGAUUAGGUUAAGUAUCUGGAGGUGGGGAGAUUAUCCUGGAUUAUCUGCAUGAGGCCAGUGUAAUCACAAGGGUUCUUGUAAGAGGAAGGCAGGAGGGUCAGAGUCAGAGAAGGAAAUAUGACAGUGGCAGCAGAGGUCAGUGAUGCCGUUACCAGCUUCGAUCGUGGAAGAAAGCCAUGAGCCACAGAUUGCGGGCGGCACCCAGAAGCUGGAAAAGGCAUGGAAACAUUCUCUCCUAGAGCUUCCGGAAGGACUGUAACCCUACCGACACCUUGUUUUUAGCCUGAUAAAACCAAUUUCAGAGUUCUGACCUUCACCGUGAUGCAGUGGAAAGCCAUGACAUCUGAACCAUUUACAGGGCUCCAUAUGUGGGCGGGGGUUAUUUUGGGAACAUAAGAAAUGGGUUUAAAUGUCAGGUUAGUUGUUCACUGGUCAGCUCCCUAACAGAGCUGAGGCGUCAAAGUGGAAUGCCUAUUUUGAGAACAGAAGCCGGGCAGGCCCGAGCAAGCCCAGAGAACCUUCUGGCACUCAAGCUCUUUGGGGGCCCAACUUCGGUCUGAUUCUGCUUCAGGUGCCAAGUAGGUCAGUCAUGUAGGAAACCAGGAAGCUCUAUUUAUUUUUUCUUAGGCUGCUGAGUUUAUUUCAGGUUAGCAACAGUUUGGAGUUCACGUCCUGAAUAGUUCAGAAUUGGAAGGGCGACAGCACUGGCUCUUUUGGGGCACGGGUCACCCAUGGUUCCUGUGUCUGACCUGGAGAGCCUGGCCCUGGAGGGGCACGGAAAUGCAGGGCUCUCCUUCCGGAGCUGCUGUGCUAGUAACCUAACUUCCCUGAGCCUUGGUUUGCUUGUUUGCAAAAGGCAGGUGGCACUGCCACCUCGGGAACUGAGGAAAGCAGGCACUGAGCAGAGCAUCUAACGUGCUGGGACAUCUAACGUAUCGGUGAGUCCCUAAAGAAGGGUCUGUGGUUAAUGCCCCAGAGAGCAUGAGGCUCUGCUUAUUGUCUUAGAAAUCGGCUCCUUGAGUGCCACCCCAUGAGAUAAUGUGGGGUGCUGACCUGAGUGAGCUUGUCAGGUUUUCCAGAAUUGUCUUUCUGGGUCUGACCCAUUACCCUUCGACUCCAGUAUCUUUCUGGCAAGAACAGCAGUGGGAAUUUUAUCUCCCAGAGUGUCAAAGGUUAGAAAGGUCCCCACUGCUCCAAUUCUCAAGGUCACAGAGUGGCCUGAUUUCCCCUGUCUUCCCAGAGCAGUAUUUCAUAUCUAGGUGUUGUCACAUGGUCACGCUCCUUAUUGCUACCAGUGACUCAUAGUGGUCACUAUCAUAUUUUUUUUUCAUUUUUAAGAUUUGUUGUUUUUUAAUCCGGCUAUUUUUUUUUCAUGCCAUAUCAGUUCUCUUUCUUGAUUUGUCUCUAAGUGUUUUACAUGUAUUUGCUGGGCUUUUUGCAAUGCUUCUUUAAAAAAGUGUUAAGUGAAAUUCAGUGGUUUCUAGUAUACUCACAAAGUUAUGUAAAUAUCACCACUAUCUCAUUCCAGAACAUUUUUACCACCCAAAAAAGAAACCCCAUGGCCUUUAGAAGUCACCCACUAGCUCUUGGCAACCACUAAUCUAUUUUUUGACUCCAUGGAUUUGUGCUUCUGAUCACUUUAUAUAAAUAGAAUCAUACAAUA